UACAGGGGGUGCAAACGUUGCUCGGAAUCAUUGGGCGUAAAGCGCACGUAGGCGGUUCGUUAUGUCGGAUGUGAAAGCCCUUGGCUUAACCGAGGAAGUGCAUCCGAAACUGGCGAGCUAGAGUACGAAAGAGGAUCGCGGAAUUCCCGGUGUAGAGGUGAAAUUCGUAGAUAUUGGGAAGAACACCGAUGGCGAAGGCAGCCAUCUGGACCGACACUGACGCUGAGGCGCGAAAGCGUGGGGAGCAAACAGG
rnacentral:rRNA from 1 species